AUUUUCCCUUACUGGAAAUGACGUCAUAUUUUCUGAAGCCUCUCAUUCGAAAAAAUGGCGGAAGAACUCAACCGACUUCGUCUACAAAUAAUAAGCUUCGUUCCGCCUUUCCUCAAGACCUUAUGUAACCAUGAUCCUGGAGGCAGAACUUCCCACACUAUAAAAGCUGGUUGAACUUCAGGCUCGUCCUCUUUACCUCUCGCUUCAGAGACCAGGUACAGAUCCAGAUCAUUUGCAGGAGCAAGUGUUGUCCAGGCAUCCUCAAGUGGACCAUUCUAUUCAAAAUCCUCGAUUGCUUGCUCAAUGGGUUGCAGGGAACCUGGAGCCUAGCCCAGGGAGCAUGGGGCACAAGGUGUCACCCUGGACAGGGUGCCAAUACAACCCAGGGCACAAUCACAUAUACACCCAUUCAUACACUACAGACACUUUGGACAUGCCAAUAAGCCUACCAUGCUUUCGACUGGGGGAGGAAACUGGAAUACUCGGUGGAAACCCCCUGCAGCACGGGGAGAACAUGCAGACUCCGCACACACAGGGCUGUGGCGGGAAUCUAACGUGUUAGGCAAACGUGCAAACCACUAAGCCACCGUGUGCCUUGCAAAAUGAGUUGUACCAAUAAAUUUGAUUGUGUUGCUCAAUAAAAAAAAAAA